rnacentral:rRNA from 1 species
UACGUAGGGUGCGAGCGUUGUCCGGAAUUAUUGGGCGUAAGAGCUCGUAGGCGGUCUGUCGCGUCGAUCGUGAAAAACUUGGGGCUUAACCCUGAGCUUGCGGUCGAUACGGGCAUGACUGGAGUUCGGCAGGGGAGACUGGAAUUCCUGGUGAGCGGUGAAAUGCGCAGAUAUCAGGAGGAACACCGGUGGCGAAGGCGGGUCUCUGGGCCGAUACUGACGCUGAGGAGCGAAAGCGUGGGGAGCAAACAGG